rnacentral:rRNA from 1 species
GAGUUUGAUCGUGGCUCAGGAUGAACGCUGGCGGCGUGCCUAAUACAUGCAAGUCGAGCGAACAGACGAGGAGCUUGCUCCUCUGACGUUAGCGGCGGACGGGUGAGUAACACGUGGAUAACCUACCUAUAAGACUGGGAUAACUUCGGGAAACCGGAGCUAAUACCGGAUAAUAUAUUGAACCGCAUGGUUCAAUAGUGAAAGACGGUUUUGCUGUCACUUAUAGAUGGAUCCGCGCCGCAUUAGCUAGUUGGUAAGGUAACGGCUUACCAAGGCAACGAUGCGUAGCCGACCUGAGAGGGUGAUCGGCCACACUGGAACUGAGACACGGUCCAGACUCCUACGGGAGGCAGCAGUAGGGAAUCUUCCGCAAUGGGCGAAAGCCUGACGGAGCAACGCCGCGUGAGUGAUGAAGGUCUUCGGAUCGUAAAACUCUGUUAUUAGGGAAGAACAAAUGUGUAAGUAACUAUGCACGUCUUGACGGUACCUAAUCAGAAAGCCACGGCUAACUACGUGCCGGCAG